rnacentral:tRNA from 1 species
UCCGGUGUGGUCUAGUGGCUAGGAUAUCUGGCUUUCACCCAGAAGGCCCGGGUUCGAUUCCCGGCGUCGGAA